UGCUGGGCACUGUUCUAGAUUCUUUACAGGAAUUAAUUCAAUUUCCAUAGCAAUUCUGACAUUACAACUUAGAGAUGAGGACACUGAAGCAAGACUAGGUAAGCCAGCCUGUGACUUCAGCGGACUGUUUAUAGUCUGUGCUCUCAUUCAGCCAGCUGUAAUUCACAGAGCAGGCACUCAAGUCAUAUAUGCUGAAUGGAUGAGAGGGGUAAUGAAGUAGCCAUUUUCUCUUUGCCCAAUUCCAUGCACCUAGAUGGUCCCACUAGCUCGGGCUCUUGCUCCUCUAACCACCUCCUGUAGAAAAUAGUUACUCCUUGAGGACCAUUCUCAGCCAUAUACUUCUUCAUCAGAAUCCUUCAAAAGGAACCAUUUCAUAGCCUAUAGAUGUCCAGUAGUAAUUAAUGGCUUCUGACAGAGGUCUCCAGUCCCAGCUCCAUCUCUGCCACACAUUUGGGCCCAAUGUGGAACUUAGCCCUUGACCCCUAACUUGUAGCAAUGACCUUAUUCCAUUAUCUCAUUUGUGAUUCUUGCCUGGGCACCAACUCCCUGGACCAUUUGUCCUGAUCUCCCUUGUCUUCCUAAGGCUGACCAAUCUUGGCACAUCAUCGCUCACCCCUCUGCCUUGGCUUUAUUGCGUGCUUAUGCUCCCGUGCUUCAUUUCCAGAGUCAGACUGACAGACACAAAACAGCUUGAGGGAGCCUCGUUCCUUCAGAUAAAAUCUCUGUGCAAAUCCUUUGGCUGUGAUCACAGCCCUUCUUGUGAGGACUUGCAUCAGCACUCUGCCACGCCUGGGUUCAAGUCUUUGCCACUUUAGAACUUAGACGAAAGAAAGAGAAACUUCUAAUUGCCUAUGCCUUGAGUGUCAGCAACUGACAACCUCUAUGAACAUCGGUGUCCGCAUCUGUGAAAUGGCUGUAGAGUGACUUUAUUCUGAGGGCUGUGAGCUUUCAGAAGUAUGAUGCAUGUUGGCUGCUUCGACGACCAUUACCAUUGUGAGCAGCUUCGCCUGCUAUUUGGGCAGAGCAGGGUUAAGGAGCUUCAUAACACUCUCACGUUGCUGUUUGCACGGUGGUAACUGUGCUUUCCUGAGUCAGUCGGCGGUAGCAGACAGCUAGGGCUAUGUUUUCCAUGGAGAAGGGCGUGCACACUCCCAGUUCUAAACAAUCCGGGCAGUGCCAGGGCCCAGAUCAGACGCUGGCAAGUGGCUGAGCUGAGCUUUUAUAAAGAUCUGUUCUAAAGAACAAUGUUGUCCACAAAGGAUCAUGCCGUCUGCCAGAUUAAACACUGAACUUGCUCAAUAGCAUGAGUUACCAUCCUCAGAAGGAAAAAUGUGUCCAUUAUCUUGAACCAAGCUUCAGAGGCAUAAUCAAAGGGGUUAGUGAGUUAUGCCUGUAACCCAGUCUAUGACUCUAAGGCUUAAAAAUACAUGGAUGGUUUAGAUCGUUGUCUCCUUAAAAGACUACUGAACGUUCUGGCAGACUUCAAAUGCGUGACUGGGGAUCAGCAAAGAGAAGACCAGCUCUCUUCAUCUUUCAGAGCUGUAUCUUCCGCGUGGGACUGUGUAAGAUGAGGAGAUGGAGACACAGAAGGUUGCUGACGUGCCUAAGGAUGAAGCCAUCACUCUGUGUGGUCCUUCCAAUUGUUUAUAUGGCUCUCCAUGAACUCUGCCUCGAUCUGCCACGCCUGCCCUUUAUGCCUCUGGAUCCAGCCACAGGCCAGCUCACUGUUUCUUGUGCACAGGAGUUAUCCUCCUGCCUUAAGGCAAGGUCUGCAUGCUUCUUCCUCUGUACAUCUCUGCAUGCCUUUGCUCAAGAAACCACCUUCUCAGUGUGGUCUUUUUUGACCGUCUUGCUCACGGCUGCAGCCACCCUGCCUUCCUAGCCCUUCCUGCCCCCUUCCCUGCUGCAGUUUUCCUAUUUUACUGAUUUGGUUUUUGUCUGAUGUCUUCCCCUGGUGCAUACCUCUUUCAUGAGGAAAACUAAGCUUUCAUGUCUUAUGCUCACUGCUGUAUCUUCAAGGCCUAAAAGCAGGCUGAGCAGAUAACAGGCAUUUGAUGCAGUCACUGUAGAAUGAACCUCUUCCCUGUCCCGGUCCAUCCUCACCUGUUCACAAAUAGCUCCUGUCAUGGUGACGGGGAAAGGCCUGACAUUGCCUCGGCCCAGGUUCUCACGUUUCCUCUGGUUGCUGAACAGCUUCAGUUCCCUCUUCUCUUCCUCGUCCAGGGAGUUGCAAUACCGAACCUGAACACAUAGAGGGCGACAGCACAGAGGAGGCGUCAUUGCUCCAGGGAAGUACUGGCAUCCCCACCCAGGGCUCACAGAGACUCUGCUACUUGGUUUGAUACUUGCUGAACGUUACCAAGUCCGCGCUUGGAGCUAACCAAGAUCUAAGUCACCAAGAGUGGCUCAGAGACGACAACUUCUGGGAACAUUCUACUUUCCAAGCUGUAAGGAGCAGAAGGUUUCCUGUGUCUACGGGAACGGCCCCCACAAAGAGGAAUGGCUGCAACCUGGCUGUAGGCAUGCACACAUAUAUCAUCUGGCCUCCGUCUCCCUUUGGGAUGCAAGAAUAGGUGGACUUUCGCCUGGAUUUCUACUAGUGUGACAAAUAUGAGAGAGAUUUCUUUCUUCUUUUUAAACCACAGAGUGUCAAAGAAUUAAGGGAGGGUCAGUGAGGGUAUACGUAUCCAGAAUCUGUCAUUCUGUGCCACUGUUUAUGCCCUUUGGUGAUUGUGUCAUAAUCCUGAGCUAUUGUUUAUUGAUGCUACUUUUAACUAUGACUCACUUUUAGAUGCAUUUAUUUAAAAGGAAGGUAGAUUGCAGCUACACACAGGAAAAUCAGUCACCCACAAAGAUGGGUGACUCUGAGCCACUCUAAAAGCAUAGAACAAAACCAGUUUCCCCCAGGUGACCACUGCAUCUUCAGCAGAUGUUAAAACUGAUGUGCUUGCUUAAAAUGGGAGAACAGAAUGGGCUGCAGGGGCACUAGGAUGCCUGCUAGGACCAGGCCGAGCGCUUCUCCUUAUCCGAUUAUGGCAACACAAAGAGGAAAUGUGAUUUAAAAGGAAAUAAAACUUUCAUUACAGAUUCAAUGUCAUAUACUGCCAUGUUCAACUCCUACCCCAAGUCAUGCUUAUACCUUCCUUUGGGAUAUGUGAUCCUAAAGCUCUUCAUGGUUUCUUCUGGAGUAAUCUAUAUAUUAGAAAUGUUGGCUGAAUUGCGCAGAUAAUCUUUCAUAAAGACAAUGACAGGAAGAGCUUUCGAUGAGAGGACUGUUGUGUGCUAAUCUGAAAGUCAGAACAGCUAUGUCUGUUCAAAUCGUGUUGUCUACAUGAAAAGAGAACCAUUAAGUCUUUGCUUCAGAGUCGAUCUCUGUCUUCAGAAGCGGCCAUGCCACCAUGCCAAAUGAAUCAAUCCUGUCUACUGGCUUUCAUCGAUCACAUUGUACCAACAUGGAGUCGUGAUCCAAGUGAUGUCUAUUUAAUGAAAGUACUUUUAAGUAUAAACAGAAUGAACCACUACAAGCAUGGGACAGAUCAUUGUCUUCUCUCAAGUGAUAGUUAAAAAAAAAAGUCUUCAGAGGAAUGUUCCAGAAACCUAACAGCCCAGAAAACAUGGUUUCACCAAUGACAUUUUAUGGGCUUGCUUUAAAAACAGGCACACCCCUCCUGCUUGUAAAAACUUGCAUUUUCACCUCCAGAUUAGUUAACUGGGCAUCCGGUUACAAUGUUUGCUUUCAUCUUUAAAGGAGCCAACUUUUGUGUAUGUUUUAUGAACUAUGAAAUAAGCAGCAGGAGAGAGAGAGAGAUGCAGCUUUCUAGGGAGUCGCCUGAGUUUUUGAGAUGUUGUCUCACUUAUUCAGAUUCAUAUAUUUAUUUCUGCAGUGAGGAGGAUUAAGCCCAGGGCUUUGCACAUGCUAGGCAAGGGCUGUGCUAUGAUCUACAGUCUCAGUUCCUCAGUAGUAGCGGCUCAGACUGUCUCUUUUGGGGCCAGCAAGAUGGCUCAGUGGGUGGAGGUGCUUGCUGCGAAGCAUAAUGUUCUGAACCUGAGUUUGAUCCUUCCACAUGGUGGAAGGAGAGAGCCAAUUCCCACAGAUUGUUCUCUGACCUUCACAUACAUGCUGUAUUAUGUGUGUUUUACACACACACACACACCAUAAAAAUACAAAAACAAAUUACUCCCUUUUAUGUAAAAAUGUCACCUGGGACUCAGGCCAUGUAUGUGAUGAGUUGGUAGAAACUGGUAUCCAGAUCUCUACAGGGGUAAUUUUUUUCUUUCAGUUUAAAAUUAAUUAUACUUUUGUUUUAAAUAUAGAGCUAACUAGUGCAAA